CGGCGAGUGAAGCGGCAAGAGCUCAAAUUUGAAAGCUGGCCCCCUCGGGGUCCGCAUUGUAAUUUGCAGAGGAUGCUUCGGGAACGGCCCCCAUCUAAGUGCCCUGGAACGGGCCGUCAUAGAGGGUGAGAAUCCCGUCUGGGAUGGGGUGGCCGCGCCCGUGUGAAGCUCCUUCGACGAGUCGAGUUGUUUGGGAAUGCAGCUCUAAUUGGGUGGUAAAUUUCAUCUAAAGCUAAAUAUUGGCCGGAGACCGAUAGCGCACAAGUAGAGUGAUCGAAAGAUGAAAAGCACUUUGAAAAGAGAGUUAAACAGCACGUGAAAUUGUUGAAAGGGAAGCGCUUGCGACCAGACUCGCCCGCGGGGUUCAGCCGGCACUCGUGCCGGUGUACUUCCCCGCGGGCGGGCCAGCGUCGGUUUGGGCGGCCGGUCAAAGGCCUCUGGAAGGUAACGCCUCUCGGGGCGUCUUAUAGCCAGGGGUGCCAUGCGGCCUGCCCGGACCGAGGAACGCGCUUCGGCUCGGACGCUGGCAUAAUGGUCGUAAGCGACCCGUCUUGAAACACGGACCAAGGAGUCUAACAUCUACGCGAGUGUUCGGGUGUCAAACCCGUGCGCGCAGUGAAAGCGAACGGAGGUGGGAACCCCCCGGGGUGCACCAUCGACCGAUCCUGAUGUCUUCGGAUGGAUUUGAGUAAGAGCGUAGCUGUUGGGACCCGAAAGAUGGUGAACUAUGCCUGAAUAGGGCGAAGCCAGAGGAAACUCUGGUGGAGGCUCGCAGCGGUUCUGACGUGCAAAUCGAUCGUCAAAUUUGGGUAUAGGGGCGAAAGACUAAUCGAACCAUCUAGUAGCUGG
rnacentral:rRNA from 1 species